rnacentral:rRNA from 1 species
GGGCAAGCGUUGUUCGGAAUUACUGGGCGUAAAGGGCUCGUAGGCGGCCAACUAAGUCAGACGUGAAAUCCCUCGGCUUAACCGGGGAACUGCCUCUGAUACUGGAUGGCUUGAGAUUGGGAGAGGGAUGCGGAAUUCCAGGUGUAGCGGUGAAAUGCGUAGAUAUCUGGAGGAACACCGGUGGCGAAGGCGGCAUCCUGGACCAACACUGACGCUGAGGAGCGAAAGCCAGGGGAGCAAACGGG